GCGGGAGUAGCUCAGUUGGUAGAGCAUUAGCCUUCCAAGCUAAGGGUCGCGAAUUCGAAUUUCGUCUCCCGCUCAA
rnacentral:tRNA from 1 species